rnacentral:rRNA from 1 species
CCUACGUGAGACAGCAGUGAGGAAUAUUGGUCAAUGGACGAGAGUCUGAACCAGCCAAGUAGCGUGAAGGAUGACUGCCCUAUGGGUUGUAAACUUCUUUUAUAUGGGAAUAAAAUGUUCCACGUGUGGGAUUUUGUAUGUACCAUAUGAAUAAGGAUCGGCUAACUCCGUGCCAGCAGCCGCGGUAAUACGGAGGAUCCGAGCGUUAUCCGGAUUUAUUGGGUUUAAAGGGAGCGUAGGUGGAUUGUUAAGUCAGUUGUGAAAGUUUGCGGCUCAACCGUAACAUUGCAGUUGAAACUGGCAGUCUUGAGUACAGUAGAGGUGGGCGGAAUUCGUGGUGUAGCGGUGAAAUGCUUAGAUAUCACGAAGAACUCCGAUUGCGAAGGCAGCUCACUGGACUGCAACUGACACUGAGGCUCGAAAGUGUGGGUAUCAAACAGGAUUAGAUACCCGAGUAGUC